UCGCUCAUUCUGUGUCUCUCUCUGUCUCUCCAAAAUGAAUAAACGUUAAAACAAACAAAGAAAACCAAGAGUCACUUAUGAAGUGAACACUUACAAGCCAGACUUGAAUUUACAUUCACUUUCAUCAAGUUUCAAAAGGUAAAUGUUUCAGAGAGAACAUUUCAACAGCGGUGAAAGAUGAAUAGAAAGAAAACGAAUGAUUUCACAUUCAAGCGCUUGGCUUGGCAUUUUGAAGAAAGGGAUGGAGGUAAUGAUGUCAUUGGACGAAGUUCGUGAUAAUAGGUUUUUAGAACAAUUAAGUGUAGAAUACGUUCUCUCUUUUUUAAGUUUAUUUUGAGAAAGAGAGAGAAAGCGCGUGGGCACGAGUGGGGGAGGGGCAGAGAGAGAAAGAGGAUCCCAAGGGGGCUCCGCACUGUCUGUGUAAAGCCUACCUCAAGGCUGGAUCUCACAACCUUGAGAUCAUGACCUGAGCUAAAAUCAAGAGCCCGACACUUAACUGACUGAGCCACCCAGGCGCUCCAAGUAUAGAUUACUUUCUGACCAUACAGUUAUUAGGAAGUGGCAUUGCAUUUCUUUUCAUUAUUUUACAUACUUCCUUCUGCUAGUUGCGUUUCUGGUGAUCAGCACGUAUCUCAAAGCGGGUAGCAUUUAUCAAGUACUGUUCCAGCUGCUCCACUGCACUGGGUCCUGAGAGAUAGUUACAGAGGGAGGCACCAAUAAAACCCUUUUUCUGGAGGCAUUUAACCCUUAAUGACAGGAAAAUGAACCUAUCUGUGUGUAUUAAAAGCAACUUGUGAAAUAUGAAGUAAUGUCACGAAGGGGAAAUAAAGUUUAGAAAUGCACUUAUUAUAAUUCAGUUUAUAUUUUGAUUACAUAUGUAAUGGCAGGAUGUCUUGGAUAUGGACGAGAGGGAACGAGAUUGGCCGCAUGUUGGUCAGUGUUGAAACUGAGGUUCGUUACAUUCUUCUCUCUAGUUUUGUGUAUUGUUUGAAAAUCUCUUAAUCCAAACUUUAAAACAAAGAACUGAGCUCCAAUUUUGCGAUUAACUGGCUGCUUGAGGGUGAGAACAUUAUAUAUAAGUGAGAACAUUCUCUCUUCUAUGUUCACAAUCUAGUCAUCUCCUGCCUCCUUUUCAUGCGUCUUCCAAAUAAAAUCUUUCUUCAGUCAAUAACCUUGAAUUCCAUUACUCUAGGCCUUUAUCAACGAAAAUAUAAUCCUAAUACAGUAUUAUUACAAAACUUUAAACACAUAUUUUAUUUAUCAUCUUCAGAUAGUCAAAGCUGUUACAGCCAGCUCGGAGCACACUUCCAAACUCAGUGCUGAUGAACCAGAUCCAGGAAUCAUGCCUUUCUACUUGCUCGUGGGCUCAUUUCACAGCGAGCUUUAGGAGUAAUUGACUAAGGACACAUAGUUCGUUUACUGGGCAUGUCUUCUCAGACCACAUAAUCUUAGGCCAUUACAAUAUCACUUACAGCUUCUGCUGUUUUUGAACAAGGCUGCAAGAAGCAUUUUCAGGAAUUUGUGAGAAAUGAAGGCAUUGUAUGACCUAGUGUUUAGAGUAAAAGCCAGUACUAGAAAAACUGUUACUUUCCCGGAAGGAAUUGACCUACUACCUCCUCUUGGAUUCUAAUUAUCUAAAUGACUGAUUUCCCCUUUUUACCUUGACUAUCAAGAAGGCAAAGUCCAAUUAAGAAGUCACUUUCCAAUUAUGAAAACAAUAAAUAUUACAUGCCCAUGAUAGAAAAGUUGUAAAAUACCCAAGGAGCAAAAACAAGGAAAAGAGAGACAUAAAAAAAUUAACCCAUGAUCCCGUCAUCCAGAAAAGCCACUGUUAAUGUUUUCUGUAAGAGACAAAUAUGAGACUCAGUUAAUGGAAUUAAAUUUACCAUUAGGGUUGAUAUGAGUGCUUACCUUUUACUUGGUUCUGAUUUUCUCAAUUUCCUACCUUUUAAGUAUAUGCAUGUUGAAACUGUUUCAAGCCAUUUGGGGGAAGAAGAGGUGCCAACAAAAAUUUAUCCUUAAACUAAUAUAGUGGCAAUAUGAGGCAACUAUUGUCAAGUUUGGGUCUCCUGAUACAAUACCUGCUUACUAUGGGAUUAUGAGGAUUAUAUCAAGUGAGUCACCGGUUACACAUUGAAAAUUCCAAAGUACUAUAAAACAAUGAUAAUAAAACGAGCUAACACUAUUUGAGUUCUUUGCUAUGUUUCCCGGCACAACAACCCUACAAAAUGGUACUGUUUUAGCAUUUCAGUCUUUGGUGUUAUUAAAUAGUUCACUUCACUCUUUUGUAGAGUAAUGAGGUAUAAACCUUAAUCCCUAUAACCUCAGAAUGUUAUCUUCUCUGAAAAUAAGUCUGUGCAGAUGUAAUUUAAAAUAAUGACAUUGAGAUGAAAUCAUCCUGGAUUUCCACAGGAUGCCCUAAGUCCAAUGAAAAGUGUCUUUAUAAGACACACCUCAGAGGAAAAGUAAUGUGACCAUGGAAGAAAAGAUUUGAGUGCUGUGACAUCAAGCCAAGGAAGGCCUGGAGCCACCAAAAACUAGACAAGGCAAAUGACCAAUUGCCCAUAGAGCCUUCAGAGGGGGAAAUUUCAGAUAACUUGUUGAGAUCCUCCUGUGACCAGGUGAUUAUAUGGACACGAUCAACUUCUGGGGGCUAAUGAAGACAGACAAACACAUGGCAGCUGAGAUCAAUGAGACAAAAGUCACUCCUCUUUUUUAGUAGCAGAGCUGGGAUACAAACCCAGUCUCUACCUGUUGUUCUGGACCGAAGGCAAUUUUGACCGUCAACCCCAAACCCUAGGAGACACAUGGAAAUGUUUGAAGACAUGUAUGGUUGUCACAGCUGGAUGCUCAAUGCUAUUAACAUUUACCAGAUAGAAGCCGGGAUUUCUGCCAAAUAUUCUACGAUGCACAAGACAGCCCUCCGCAGCCAAACAUUGUCCAGUCCCCACUGUCAAUAGUGCCGAGGUUGAGAAGCUCUGCGUAACGUGACCAGGAUCCUCAAUACAUUGAUUCUUCCAUGGCUUAUGGUUUGAAUUGUUUCUUUGUAAAAAGGGCAUAUUGAAAUCCUAACCUCCGGUUCCUCAGAAUGUGAACUUGUUUGGAGAUAAAGUCAUUGCAGGUAUAAUUAGUUAAGAGGGGGUCAUGCCGGAGCAGGAUGGGCCUGUAAUCUAAUGACUGGUAUUCUUAUAAAGAGAAUGCCAUGCGUGGAUAGAUACAGAAACACAGGGAGAAUUCCACGUGAGGAUGGAAUGAUACACCUAGAAGUCAUUGAGUGCCAAAGAUGGCCGGGAAACCAGCAGAAAUUAGGAAGAGUCAAGGAAGGAUCCUUCCCUAAAGGUGUCAGAGACAGCAUGACUCUGCUGACACCUUGAUUUUGGACUUUGAGACUUCAGAACUGUGAUACAAAUAAGCAGCCCAGUUUGUGAUACUUUGUUAUGGCAGUCCUAGGAGGCUAAUACUUAUGCUUUCACUGAACUGUACUCCAUUAAUAUCCUCACUUGCUGCCUUGCCCAGUUGAAAUAAUGGUGAUCGCUAAAGCAAUGGAAUAUACGAUCUUGCACAACUAUAUUUAUUUCAAUCAGGAAGUAAAGAGAUUGAAAUCUGGGUAUAUGUUCCAGUAUUUAUCUAUCCAAAUUGAGUAAUAAAAUGUUGCAGGCAGGUAUGAUAAGAAGUUUGGGUAAGGAUGAAACUGAAAAGAAGUCGAGGACUUAUAUGAUUCACUAAAUUGAUAUACCAGUGGGUUCUCCAUUGACAUAGCAGAACUCUUGAAAAGGGCCUUACCCUGUACACCUGAGCUGACUCUUCUUGGGGUAUGCUUUGUACUGGUUCACAUAAUCCAGGUUUUAAUUCCUUGAGCAAAGACCAAGAACCUCAAAUCCACAGCAUUGGUGUCAAAUCUCUGGCCAAGAACUCCAAGUGUAUAAUCUCAGCUAUUGUGCUGGGUCUGAAAUAGUGAUUUUCUUUUACUUUGUUGAUUAAAUGAUUUUGCAAAUCUGAGACUGUAC